rnacentral:rRNA from 1 species
UACGUAGGGGGCAAGCGUUGUCCGGAUUUAUUGGGCGUAAAGAGCGUGUAGGCGGUUAGGUAGGUCCGUUGUGAAAACUCGAGGCUCAACCUCGAGACGCCGAUGGAAACCAUCUAACUAGAGUCCGGAAGAGGAGAGUGGAAUUCCUGGUGUAGCGGUGAAAUGCGCAGAUAUCAGGAGGAACACCGGUGGCGAAGGCGGUUCUCUGGGCAUGUCCUGACGCUGAGGAGCGAAAGUGUGGGGAGCGAACAGG